ensembl:miRNA Gm22802 predicted gene, 22802
UAUAAUAUAUAUAUGUGUGUGUGUGUGUAUAUAUAUAUAUACACACACAUAUAUAUAUAUAUAUAUAAUUAUA